GAUGAACGCUGGCGGCGUGCCUAAUACAUGCAAGUCGAACGCUGGAGAUCUAGCUUGCUAGAUCGAAGGAGUGGCGAACGGGUGAGUAAUACAUAAGCAACCUACCCACGAAGACUGGGAUAAUCUCUGGAAACGGGGACUAAUACCGGAUAGGUAAUCGGAAGGCAUCUUCUGGUUAUUAAAGGUUAAAAACACUGGUGGAUGGGCUUAUGGCGCAUUAGUUAGUUGGUGAGGUAACGGCCCACCAAGACGAUGAUGCGUAGCCGGCCUGAGAGGGUGAACGGCCACAUUGGGACUGAGACACGGCCCAGACUCCGACGGGAGGCAGCAGUAGGGAAUGUUCGGCAAUGGGGGCAACCCUGACCGAGCAACGCCGCGUGAGUGAAGACGGCCUUCGGGUUGUAAAGCUCUGUUGUAAGGGAAGAACGGUAGAUAGAGAAUAUCUAAGUGACGGUACCUUACCAGAAAGCCACGGCUAACUACGU
rnacentral:rRNA from 1 species